UGGGGAAUCUUGGACAAUGGGCGCAAGCCUGAUCCAGCCAUGCCGCGUGAGUGAAGAAGGUCUUCGGAUUGUAAAGCUCUUUUGCCGGGGACGAUGAUGACGGUACCCGCAGAAGAAGCCCCGGCUAACUUCGUGCCAGCAGCCGGGGUAAUACGAAGGGGGCUAGCGUUGGUCGGAAUUACUGGGCGUAAAGGGCGCGCAGGCGGCCGCUCAAGUCAGGUGUGAAAGCCCCGGGCUCAACCUGGGAACUGCACUUGAUACUGAGUGGCUAGAGUUCGGGAGAGGAGAGUGGAAUUCCCAGUGUAGAGGUGAAAUUCGUAGAUAUUGGGAAGAACACCGGUGGCGAAGGCGGCUCUCUGGACCGAUACUGACGCUGAGGCGCGAAAGCGUGGGGAGCAAAC
rnacentral:rRNA from 1 species